CCUGUUGAUGAAGACGAGGUGGUCUCCCACAUCCUCCAUGGGCUAGAUUCAGACUACAACUCGUUUGUGUCUGCUAUCUCCACCCACGCUGCAGCAGACAACCCCAUCGGCCUCGGCGAGAUCUUCUCGCUCCUUCUCUCGGCC